GGAUGUAGCUCAAUGGUAGAGUGUUUGCCUGACAUGAAUGAGGGCCUGAGUUUGAUCCCCAGUACUAUACA
rnacentral:tRNA from 1 species